CUUCUGCAUCGAAAGGAAACUUUAAUUCAACAUCGAGGUGACAAACCUUAUCUUUGAUAUCAUCUCUUCAAUAAGAUUAUCCUGUUAUCCCUAAAGUAGCUUUUAUUUAAUAAUCGUUAAACAUUUUUUUAUACUUUAACGGGUCAUUCAUCCAUUUUAUGACUGUUAAAAUUAUUUUUUAUACAGUAAUUUUUUAUAUUCUUUUUUUUUAAAAUACCGGGGCCCAAACUAAACUACCUUGUUCUAUAUAUUUUUUCAUAUUAUGAAAUUAUAGAAUUAUAGUUAAGCUUUAUAGGGUCUUCUCGUCUUACAAUUUUAAAUAGUAUCUUGACUAUUAUUCAAAUUUUAUUGGAUUUUUUUUUAAGACAGUGAAAUUCUCGUUUAACCAUUCAUACUAUCCGCUAAUUAGGCGGCUCUUUAUUGUGCUACAUUAUCACAGUCAGGAUACUGCGGCCGUUAAA
rnacentral:rRNA from 1 species